GUGGAUUAGAUACCCUGGUAGUCCACGCCGUAAACGAUGAUAACUAGCUGCUGGGGUGCAUGGCAUUUCAGUGGCGCAGCUAACGCAUUAAGUUAUCCGCCUGGGAGUACGGUCGCAAGAUUAAAACUCAAAGGAAUUGACGGGGGCCUGCACAAGCGGUGGAGCAUGUGGUUUAAUUCGAAGCAACGCGCAGAACCUUACCAACGUUUGACAUCCCUAUCGCGGAUCGUGGAGACACUUUCCUUCAGUUCGGCUGGAUAGGUGACAGGUGCUGCACGGUCGUCGCCAGCU
rnacentral:rRNA from 1 species